UUUCCGUAGGUGAACCUGCGGAAGGAUCAUUAUUGGAUUUUGAAACUUCAGGCUGCUGCUGGCUCUCCUCGGAGGGCAUGUGCACGCUUGUUGUCCAUUAUUUCUCCCACUGUACACAAAUUGUAGACCUUUCAGUAGGCCUAUGUUGUUUUUCACAAUCUCUGAAUGUAAUAGAAUGGUUUUGAAUCUUGGGAAAUACAAUACAACUUUCAGCAACGGAUCUCUUGGCUCUC
rnacentral:misc_RNA from 1 species